GUUUAUCUAAAGGAAAGAAAGCAGUUGACAAUACCCAACAAUAAGAGACAAUGCAAGUGCUUUAAAUUGGAAAUUGAUCUGCAUGUGGGGAUUUUCGAUGGAAGCAAUUAUUUCUUCAAGGGAAUCUUUGAUUUCUUCAAGACCAGGAACACGAAUGGAAAUGUUCUGUCUGUGGCCCAGCAUGAAGAGGACAAAAGUUGCAAACUAAGUAAGAAACAGCCACAGUCAUCUCAUAUUCAUCCGUCUAAAAAUCACCAUGCAGAGAGAAGGAGCUUGCAGAUGCUUAAGUAUUUUCCCUUCAUGGAAUUCCUUGGGAUAUUGCAGCAGACUGGCCUGCUGGAAUGCACACAUUUAGUGGGAAGAUUUUGCAAACCAAAGAGAUCUGAACUCUCUAAUCACUAAGAGUGGGUUGGUCAUUUCUAAUCAUGGCCAUUGGUAUCUUGGCCUUGCUCUAGGACUGGUCCACAGAACGGUUGGGCAAGAGGAAACUUCUGUCUGCCUGGAGCUUCCCGGUGCUCUCAGGAAGUGAAAGCUCUACCAGUCACUGAGAAAAGUCAGAUUCAACAGCACAGAUCAAAAUCAACCAUGCACAUCAGCAGUACAUAUUACUCACAUUAUAACAUCAAGCACAGGGCUAAGGCUCUGGCUCUAGGAUCAGACCCCAGAGUAUGUGGCCCCAUAUUUCUUUACUCUAACAGCAGGAUUUGCCAACUACUUUUGAGCAACUGGGAAGAGAAGAAAAAAAACACUCACACAACACAGAGAUGCAUUUGAACCAGAGUCAAACCUUUCAAAUUUCAAAGGUGAUAAGAACAGGCCAUGAGUGGUCUCUCACUUAUCUUGGUAGACACAAACCACAUGUUAACCUGGACUCUGAGCUGCUGUUCUGUUCUUUCUUCCAGCUCUGAACUAACAGCAAACAAUUGAAGGGAGACAAGAUUGUGAGUUUUCCUUUUUCACCAGAUCUGAGUUCUUUGUUUGGACGAGUAUGCUAUUGUGCUAACUCUGUGCUGUUGAAGAUCACUGCAAUCUGCCAAGCUGGGACUAUGAUCAUUAAGAAAUAUGGGUACACAAAUCAGGGAAUUUCUACUUUAAGCAUUUAAUUCCAAAAGAGAAUGUGAUAUUUUAAAAUGUUGAGGUUAAUAGAUGUAUUUUGUUCACAGAUUCAAAAGCUGUCAUGUAAUACAUGCUGUUGCCAGACUUGGGAAUUAUGCUGAAUAUGACACACCUAGCUCCACAGCCAGCAUGUCAGGAAAAGGAGAGGAUAGCUGGAAUUGGAGUGGCAGCAGAAAGGAACCAAGGCAAGUUUUCUUGCAGUUAUAACAUAUAUUUGGAUGAACUGGAGAAACAUUUCAAUGGACUGUUUACAACUGUUCACAAGGGUGGAUAGUGAUAGGACAAGGAGGAAGGGUUUUAAACUGAGACAGCUGAGGUUUAGGUUAGAUAUUAGGAGGAAGUUUUUCACUCAUAGGGUGGUGACACACUGGAAUAGGUUGCCCAAGGAGGUUGUGGAUACCCCAUCCCUGGAGGCAUUCAAGGCCAGGCUGGAUGUGGCUCUGGGCAGCCUCGCCUGGUGGUUAGCGACCCUGCACAUAGCAGGGGGUUGAAACUAGAUCAGUGUGGACCUGGCCUCCGUGGCUCCCUUCA
rnacentral:lncRNA from 1 species